rnacentral:rRNA from 1 species
GAUGAACGCUGGCUACAGGCUUAACACAUGCAAGUCGAGGGGAAACGACAGGGAAGCUUGCUUCCCCGGGCGUCGACCGGCGCACGGGUGAGUAACGCGUAACCAACCUGCCUCUGACUGAGGGAUAACCCGUCGAAAGUCGGCCUAAUACCUCAUGGCAUCGCCUCCGGGCAUCCAACGACGAUUAAAGAUUGCUUCGGUCAGGGAUGGGGAUGCGUCUGAUUAGCUUGUUGGCGGGGUCACGGCCCACCAAGGCCACGCUCAGUAGGUGUUCUGAGGGGCAGGUCCACCACAUUUGAGCCGCGACACGGACCACACUGCUACGGGAGGCAGGGGUGUGGUACACUAGGCGAUGAGGGUGGGCCUGGACCCGCCAAGUGGCGUGCAGGAUGCCGGCGCUCUGAGUUGUAUGCUGCUUGUAUGGGGGGAUAAAGUGAGGAACGUGUCAUUCAUUGCAGGUACCUAAUGAAUAAGCACCGGCUAAUUCCGUG